rnacentral:snRNA from 1 species
GGACGUAAGGGCAACCUGGCUGUGACUUCUGUCAACCCACUGAUCGCCAGGGUUGGUUGUUUGGGCUGGCUAGGUGGGGGUCUCCAUCCUCCCUCACCACUCCAUGUGCACCCCCCAAAAAACUGUGUGCUUGGUAAAAGAGGAUGACCUUUCCCAAACAGAGGGGUUCCAGUCUUCCAUUAAGAGUAUGCGAGUAGAUGCAAUUCCCUGCUAGAACCUCAAAACAAACUCUCAAAAGACUUAACAGACACAGAACCUCUACCUUUGUACUUAACUCCUCUGCCUCAUUCAUCUGUCACCAAUGUGGGC